rnacentral:rRNA from 1 species
CCUACGGGGGGCUGCAGUGGGGAAUAUUGGACAAUGGGGGCAACCCUGAUCCAGCCAUGCCGCAUGUGUGAAGAAGGCCCUCGGGUUGUAAAGCACUUUCAGUGAGGAAGAACGCCUGGUGGUUAAUACCCAUCAGGAAAGACAUCACUCACAGAAGAAGCACCGGCUAACUCCGUGCCAGCAGCCGCGGUAAUACGGAGGGUGCGAGCGUUAAUCGGAAUUACUGGGCGUAAAGCGCGCGUAGGUGGCUUGAUAAGCCGGUUGUGAAAGCCCCGGGCUCAACCUGGGAACGGCAUCCGGAACUGUCAAGCUAGAGUGCAGGAGAGGAAGGUAGAAUUCCCGGUGUAGCGGUGAAAUGCGUAGAGAUCGGGAGGAAUACCAGUGGCGAAGGCGGCCUUCUGGACUGACACUGACACUGAGGUGCGAAAGCGUGGGUAGCAAACAGGAUUAGAUACCCUAGUAGUC